rnacentral:lncRNA from 1 species
AUGUCAUCAACAGAGGGAUGAGUCUGCUCUGUUCAGGGAGGGGCAGAAAAUCAGAAGUUACACUCAUUCAUACAACAGAAGGAGCGUGGCUGCUCACUGAGAAGUGUUGCACUCACUUGUUUGUACUUUCUCAGUAGCGAAUUUGCAGUCAAGGUACGUGCUUCCACUUCUUUUUCAUUUGAAAAGUUGUCAUUAUUUAAAUUCAGUAGUUUGUUACUUUUUCGAAGCCACUUCUUGAAUUCUUAAUACAUUUUUAGUUCAAUUAGAAAAGAACUGGCAUCAUUAAGAUUCCAAGAACAGAGGAAGAAAAUAAUUAUCACUGAUGCAGUGUGCUAACUUGGCAGAUUUUGCUGAGGUGAAACAUUUACAGAAAAAAAAGUGCUUUAUUUCAGAGUGCUUAGGAUGCCACAUACACAGGGACUGUUGGGUAUGGGCUACGUGAGGGAAACAAUCUGUUCUGUCUGGAGGGCAGUCAGUGUGUUCCAUUUGUUUUAGCUAGGAGAGAACAGAAGGUACAAAUAGCUAACUUCAUUUUCAGCUGAGAACUUACCUAACAAGAACGAGGGAAAAGGCAGUGACAAUUCUUUCUGUGUGCCUUCAACGUUUUCUCACUGUUUAUUGUUUUGAUUGUCAACUUUGUGCCACAGUGUGGAUGUGUUUGUACCUCAUGCUGCUGACCUGUCUCAUCUGUACUGGCAAAAUGGCAAAGACUAAACCUUACGAGUUAUUUCUUGUGUAACAAGGAAAGGUUUCAGUUCACCUUUGAACAACUUCAUUGGUUUCCUUCUGAUUUUUAUAUUAAAAUGAAAAAAUACAGUGAAAGCAUGAUUUAUAAGAUGCUUAUAAAAAUAAAAAGCUUAGAACUGGAAAUGUAAUUAGAAUAGUAUAACAGAAGGAUCAAAUACUGAAAUAUAUGCUACUCAUUUUCCAUUACGCAGUAUUGUAAGCAGUAGGCUGUGUAUAGUAACGAUAGUAACAAAAUAGUCAUGCAGCCAAAACAGUUCAAAGUUUGUCAUUAGAAUCCUUGGUUCUGAUACGUUGUAUGCAAUCAUACAGAUGCCACCUCCUAAAAUUAGAACGUGGUUUUAUCUUGAGCAGUUGUACACAUAUUCUUAGAGAAGCUUGAACAGAGAUAGUAAAUAAUAUAUUUCUUUUUAAAGCAGAAUCUCUAAAUCUGAAGUAUCAGGAUAUUGUGUAAUAUCUGUCAUGUGGCUCCUAUCUUUUCUGCUUUUUUUUUUUUUCUGGAAAUUCAUUAAGGAAAUAAUGAAGAGAAGCAUCUUGACGCUUCAGAAUCAUUCAGAAACUUCCAAAUAUAUCUGUCUUUUCAGUCUGAAGAGCACAAACAUAAAGAGAAGAGAUAAGCAUACCUAAGUUAAUAAAGAUGAUGGGAUAGACAGAGCAGAGACAUCUCCAGAACACUUCUGUCAGGUUUUCCAUUGAGCCCUGUACAUGCUAGAACAAGAUUAAGUGAGUAAGUCAGAGUUACCUGAACGUUUUGUACUGCCAACCCAACAGAAAAGCCCAGCCUUUCCUCUUGAGUUAGAGCUUCCUGAAUUAAGGAUCUCAUACCCACAAUAGAAAAAAAGAAUCUCAGAGCUGUAUUCUCAGAGCAAGUAUUAUCACAUUUAAACUCCUUUCCCAGAUAGAAAACAAGAGGUACUGGGAAGAAUUUUAGCCUAUUAGUUAUGAAGAGGAUAAAAUUCAGUGCUUAGGAAAAGUCAGUUUUAGAUAGUGUAUUUCUUCCUGGAAAGAAGGAGGCAAAAACUUUUAGAAACCCAAACCUCACUGUUUUCAGAGUCAGAGUAGGAAAAAUAAAUCUUAUUGCAAAUCCAGGAAGACUUGCUAGUGAAUAGAGCUUUGCUUUAAAAACAAACACAUUCCUUCCCAGUAACCAAGUCAGCAACAAAUGUACACCUGAGCUCAUUAGCAAUGUUAAUCAAUAUGAAAUUUAAAAGAGAGAGAGAGAGAAUAAACAUUUUCAGUCAAAAUGCCAUUUAGCUAAAAUCUGUUUUUUCUUUAAAAGCUACACAUAAGCCAGGCUUGUUCUUUUGUCACCAGUGGAUUUUAGAGCCCUCCCUCCACUCCAAACUUUUGGAUUUUCCCUGCCUUAUCUAAAUAUUGGUCUCUCUUCCUCCUUGCAUGCUUCAAAUUUUACACACACAUGGAUGAAACGUGUGCUCCUGCUCAGCUGAUGCGUGACUGCCAACAAACAGGGCCUCAAAGUGAAGGCAGAAGCUGUCCUUAGCUGAUCUGCUGCUUCAGCUGGUGUGACUUUGGGUGCAGAUGCCUGAAGCCUCCAGCUUCUCCUUGCACAAUGGAUUUGCAGCACUGUUGCUUUUCUGUUUCUCCUCCCUGUGCUGCUGCACAGUGUUUCUGACCAGGGAAAGGUUAAACAAGUGACUUUUCUUGAAGUGAAUCUAUUUCCUGAGCUGAUUAUACCAUUUGAGUACUUGUGACAUCUGCAAAAGAGUCACAGCCUACAGCACUGGAGUGGGAACAUGCAGUGGGGCAGACUGGGAACAGGUGAGGCAGCGAUGCUUUCAAGUGACAUUGCCACAUAUGUCCUCACCUUUUGAGAGUACACAGCUGGGUGAGCCCCUCUCCUAGCACAGCUAAGGAAGAGGACAUCCCCUGGUGAGCAUCGUAAGGAGAAGGGGUUUGUUUUGUCCAAUAGAGACUGGACUGAAAUCACACUGGUCAAACAGAAAAGUAAAUAUGAGCCAGCAGUGUGUGCUUGCAGCCUUGAAGGCCAACUGUAUCCUGGGCUGUAUCAAAACAGGGGUGGUAGAAAAGCAAGGAAGGGGAUUAUCCCCCUCUGCUCUGCUCUGCCUGUGUGAAGCCCCAUCUGGAGUAUUGUGUCCAGGCCUGGGGCCCCCAGCACAAGGAAAACAUGGAGCUGUUGGGGUAGGUCUAGAGGACAGUCACAGGGAUGAUCAAAGGGCUGGAACACCUCUGUUGUGCAGAAAUGUUGACAAAGUUGGACUUAUUUAGCUUGGAGAAGAAAAGGCUCCAAGGAGACCUCAUUGCAGCCUUCCAGUACUUGAAGAGAGCUUAUAAUCAGGAGAGAGACUGACAUUUUAAAAGGGCAAGGAAGAAUGGUUUUAAACUGAAAGAGGAGAGAUUUAGGUUAGUUGUUAGAAAGAAAAUUUUUACACAGAGGAUGGAUGCAGUGGCACAGGCUGACCAGAGAAGCUGUGGGUGCCCCAUCUCCAGAGGCUUUCAGGAUCUGGUUGGAUGGGGCCCUGGGCCCUGACCUGGUGGAGGACAGCCAACCCAUGGCAAGAGGUGGAACUGAAUAGUCUUUAAUGUCCCUUCCAACCUAUUCCAUUUGCUGAUUGUAUGAUAUAAUACAGGCUCAGGGAACAGUUUCACGACAGAUUCUGUUCAAACUGGAGCCCCCUGAUCCAGCUCCCCAUGAAGUCAGGCUCCUAUAAGGGAAACAGUGAGAACUCCAAACCCGUAUUGGAGGGAGGAGAGGGCAUCCCUGUGGCAUGACAGCCUGGAGGCAGUGAGGACUACCACAGCAAGAUGAGCAAUGCAAGAACACUAAAUACAGACACUGCAGGCUGCUGUCUUCCCAUAAAGUUAGACCUGCUAGCUAUCACCGCAGGGAUGAUAUGCCAUUCACUUAGAAGCAAUACUAGCAUAGUGAGGCUGAAGAACACUGACCGUGGUCCAUCACCUCACUACAAGCCCCAGACAGUAGAGAACAGACGCAAAGGGAACACAGAGCAGAAAGAAAAGGAAAAAUAGCACAAGGAGCAAAGUUGCCUGCUGAAAGCAAACUGUCUCCAUUCUGAUGAUAAGCAAGCCCAGAGCAUUCAGACAUUGUGGAAAAUCUGCUCCAUUACAAACUGCUUCAGGACUCUGCAAAUAUGCUGAAGUGGUGGAUUUUACCUCUUUUUGCUGCUGUGCUGUAUUUACCUCCCCUGUAUAUUAACUCUUCAGCAUGAUUCAGCAGCUCUGGGAUUGUCUUUGUGAUCCCUGCAAAUAAGGAGGAACUUUCAGGUUUGCAGACCCUCCAGGGCUAAGCCUUUCACACUCAGGUAUGCCAACGUGAUGAGGGUGUUGCAAACAAAGCCAGGCUUCGAGCUCUUGAAUUGCCAGAGUGGAGCUUCCUAAAUGCAGAAAUCCAUUUCUCACACUCAUCAUCUGCAAUAACCUCAGCAAUAUGGAGACCAAGCUGUGGUUAGAGAUCAAGGUCAUUUUGAUAUUAACAGGAUCUACAUAUGCAUGCACACAGGCAGAACUGGCUAUAGCGGGUUUUCCUCCUGCAGUGUUCCUGCAAGUUAUUUGGGAGCUGCAUCCCUGUGACCCUGGAGGGGCUUUUUCCCUUUCUUGUGGCUGUAUGGUCUGCCAGCUGACUGCCCAAAAGGCUGCUGCUCUUGGGUCACAGAACACAAAGGAUGGGCAGCAGGCUCCCCUCCAGAAGGCAGAUGCAAGCCCCUGCCCACACACAUGAUACAGACCCCAGCAAUGGUAAACUGCUUGCAGACACCAGGCAGGCCAGUAAGCUGGGAGCAGCUCUUCAGGUCUCCUGAGCUUUGUUGCAAGCAGCUGUGAGGCUUUCAUAAUUCAAAGGUGGGACCUGAUCCUUAAAUACAGAAUCACAGAAUAUCCCAAGUUGGAAGGGACCCAUAAAGACCACUGAGUCCAACUCCUUGCUCCAUGCAGGAGGAUGGAAAUAAUGAAAACAUUGUCACUAGGUUUUGGCUCAGCUUUGCAUGCACCUCUUAUAUUCUCCAGCACUCUUUCCCUAAAAUGGGCUAUAUUCUUUGCUCUUUCUAUUACAUUUAGCUUCUACUUAGACUAUAGGCAAUUUGAGGCAAAACCUGCCUGUAUACUUGCAGGGCUCUUGCACACUGAUUACCACUGAAACACCAGUUUAACAAAGACAGGAUGGUAAUAGAAUCAUCCUACAGGUUUUGCUCUGCCCACUCCUUCUGAUGCUGGGCACUGAAAAUCACAAACCAUUUUUCCCAAAGUGAACAACAAAGCAACAGGGAAAUGGUUUGUGGAACUACAAGUGAGCCUGAAAUCUUUGUUUUGUGGAAAUGUUCUCUCUUUUUUCUCUAGGCAAUCAUAGAAAUAUAGAGAAACACAUGCAGAGAGGUUAUUAGCAUCUUGUCAGAGAAGCAAAAUGCACGCUCCUCUACAUAAUCACUAUACCCACCCACCUCUGUUGUACUCAUUUCUAUGCCAUCCUCUGAGAUGGGGCAAUCCAUCUCAAACUUUCUGACUCCAACACUUGUUCCUGGUCCCCACAUUUUAACUUGCUACAAAAAAUUAAAUAUAUGUAUAUAUUGCCAUUCAUUUGUGAUUUGUUCAUCUAUUGUGAUUGACACAUAUGUUUGUUUAUUUCUUCUCCUUUGCUCAGGCAAAUAUUAUAUUUUAUUUAUUAUAGUUAAUGCUGAAAUAUGCAAGUAAUGAGAAUCUGGGAGUAACCCUCAUGAGCAUUAACAAAAACACUUAUCUUCUCAGAAACCAUUCUUUAUAGGGAUUUACAGCAAGUACAAGAAUCACAUAAUGAAAAUAACCUACUGGCAGUUUACAGAAGAAGGGUGCUGGUUUAAAAUUUGAGAGCUUUUUAAAUGGUGCUGCUCUUGCUUGUUUGUUUGUUUGUUUUCUUGGUGAGCUGUAAGUUCAUUUUCAAAGUGAUGCUAUUCCAGCCUGGUUAAAUGCACAUAACAAAUCUGACAAGAAGGCAAAUUGUGAAUGGAGGGGAUAUUAUUCACACUAGAUCUAAAUUUAUAACAUAUGCACUCGUAAAAACACAGGUAGAGACAUGUUGCAUGACAUAUGGAUUGUGUGCUCUCACAUUCUACUUACAUCAUUUCCCUGGGAAACUUUUUUUUUCAUUCAGAAGUCACCUCAUAGCCAAGAAAUUCCAGUCAGCUGGCUCAGCAAGAGGAAUAUUUCCCAAAACCAAAAGGAAGGAGAAGUAACAUAGUAGAGUCAGCUUUGGAAAGACAUUUCCUGCAAUAUUUUGGAAAUGUCAGUCCUUUUCAGAAAUGCAAGACAGCUACUUGUUUCCUUCCAUAAUAGACUUGGCCUACAAAUUGGUAUCUAAAGCAUGAAUACGGUGCUGUGCAGGACAUUGGGAAUUUCAUACUUCUGCACUUGCAAAAAAUCCAGGUUUUAUAACAUUUUGAAUGGAAUUUCCAGGUAAAAACUCUUAUUAAUUUGGUGUAUAUUUGACUCAAACAGAAAUUUUUAUUCAUUCAUUUUUUGCUUUCAAGCCCUUUUCUCUCCUGGGAGAUUAAACCCCUAUUUCCCUUCUUGCCUUCUUUCCAGUGUUCCUUCCUUCCAAUUAGUAAUCUUUCUCCAGUGUUUUCUUUAACAGUGUUAUGUUCUCUUCCAGAACUCACAUCCCCCCAUUUCCUCUCCACCUGUUCCUGGCCUGCCACAAGACUUUUCUGCCUGCUGCAGAGAGCUGUUGCAUGCCACAGAGAGCUUUAUGUGCUACAGUGCCUGCAAAAUUGGAGGUACCUGACUUCAAACAGGAUGUGAUUAACUUAAAUUAGAAUAUUUUCCAAAAUGAACUAAGCUGGUCAGAAGGUAGAAAUUCUGUUUCACAUAAAAGUUGGAAGGAGCAAAAGGAAGAAAUUCCCAUCUGGAAUGAAAGAAUCUUGAAAUUCUUUGUAGCAGCAAGAAACCAAACGACGUGCACUUGGUCAGGGGAAAUCUGCCUGGGAAUGGGCCCCACAGAAUUAAGAAUUUUGAAUGAGGCCUCUUUCUUCUAAAGCAAGCUCCUGGUGGAUAAUGUAGUACAUUGGCCACUUUCAUUCUCAGUGUUUUUUGGAGCUGCUUCACUUUGUAAAGAUAAUAAACUAUUUGGAUAGCCACAGAGCUCAAGAGUGAAUCUGAGCCUCAUGCUGAGCCAUGAGCUACUUGUCUGUAUGCCUCCUUCAUUGUUCAGAAUCAGAAACUACAUCUCCAAAAUCUUCCCUGUUAUUUUUCCCAAAUCAUUUUUGGGGAAAAAAAAAAAUUAAAUCUUUUUCUCAAGAAAUUUCCUGCUUUGGUUGUCCUUUUAAUAAAAGAAAUCUGCCUCCUCUGACAUGUAGUAAAACAUUUCAUACAGAGCUGCAGUAAUAGGUGAAGUAUGGGAAGAUUUGACCCAUGAAUUGUUACCACUGUACAGGCAGGACAGUAUCUCUGAUCUCAUGUCAUACUACAUAGCUGCCCAGUGACAACCCAACAUCAGUUGACUGCUCAACCUUAGAAGGAUCUCUGCUUUUGCUAGCUGUGGGUACAAGAAUUCUCUGAAGGGGCUGUGGCAUGUAUUCAAAAAAAGAACCUUUCAAACAAAAUCCUCACCAUGUUUUUGUGUUGGCACUCAUAAUCUCAAAAGAGCAAAUAGACAAAUCUUGGCAACCACGUGUACUCAAAAACUGUGGCCACAGAGUGAACAACAGAUUUUCUCUAUCAGAUUCCAGCAAGUCUCCGACAUCUCCUGCUGUUAACAAGGGAGGACAACAAAUUAGCACCUGGUUUAAUUUCAGAACACUGGCAAAGAAUGAAAAGGCAAAAAUAAGAUCAUAAUCCAAACACUGUUUGUUGUAAACUGGCAUUGUAAAUCACACCAGUUCUCAGAUGGAGAAGUAUCCUGAGCCUUCCAGACCACAGAGUUGAAAAACACAUGACUGCUUGUAUGGUCUAGUUUAUCACCAAAUACUUGUCAACAUUUAUUUGAAUGCUUCAUUCUGAAUUUCCAUAGGAAUACCGUGCACCUUCUCAUAAAAAUUGUCAUUGGUCUUCUAUGUUUCUCCUUGAGAAGGGAACUGUCUGGUGCUUGGUUCUCCAGAGAGUACAAAAUGGAAAAGAAAAUCAACCAUUAUAUAGUUAAUCAUACUUUCCAACCUAUUCUGCUGUCUGAGCCCAGUUUGAUGUUUGAAAACUGCAUCUUUACUGGAUGAUGUCCAUAUAUCAUAUGCUUUUUUGGAAGGCAUUAAGAGAGCCCAAGGCAUUCUGUUAUUACUAUCUUCUAGAAAAGACAGAUUGAGUAUGAUACCUUCAGAUAUCUGCAUGCGCAGCAUGCUGGUGAGGAUAACUGUAUCUGUAGAUGAAAUCUUUGUUGCAGCAGCACAAAGUGUGUUGUAAAAAUGUAGCAGAGCCUCAUCAGCUCAAGAGUAAAAUCUAUUGGAGAAACUUAGCCUUUUCUCAAGUCAUAGUUGUGAGAGUCACUUGUGAAAACGUGUAGAAAAUGCUGCAUUACUGCAAAUGCCAUUAAUAACUGUGUAAACAUUAUUGUAAUUGGAGGCACUCGGGGCAAAUCAGCCUUUUUUUGCCUAAAUGGCUGUUAAAAUGUUCUCUAGAAGCUAGAAGCAAAGUACUUUCAGGGCACAGAGCCAUUCAUUUGAAAGGCAAAUCUCAACAUUAAUUAGUACACAAAGGAAGCAGCAUGAAUAAACAUUAUUUGGCCAUUAGACCUUCACAUUUUACCUAGUCACGAGAACUUAGAGCUGAUACCCAGGAAAAAGAGCUGUUAGGAGAAAGGAAUGGCUAAACAGGGCCAAGGAAGUCUGGUAGGAGUAAUGUAGAGCUGAAGAGGACAUCCAUGUGCUCAUCAAUGAAGGAGCCUUAAGUGGAGUUUCAUAAGCUGCUGAGCAACUCUUCUGUGCCUCCACUAAAGCAAGGCAAGUAAAGGAACAUCAGUUGCUCCAUCUUCCUGCGAACAGAAGCACUUCAGAAUUUAGUUUUUUCCUGUUACUAUUCCACCUCUGUUGCUCUAUUCAUAUUGUCCAGAGCUUUCUGCAGGAUAUUCCCACUGUACAUGGUAGGGAAGACACCAAGAAAUUUAUGCCACUGGUAUGCUUCCUCAGUGUUUUCCUAUUUUUCGGCCAUGUAAAAAUAAGUGCAUGAAGGCAGGUUUGGUUUACUUUUCCUCUGUUAUUUUGCCCAUAUGUACCUUUUUUUUUUUUUUUUUUUUUUUUCUUGAGAGAACACAUAACAGUAAAAACAAAAACCAUUGCCUCUAGCUCAUCUGAUUUAGUUGUUGCCAAGGUACCACAGAGCUUUAUAUAGCAUUCCUAGUGUCCCAAAAGACAAGAAGCAGGAAUUUUCUUUAAAAACAACAGCAAUCCAAAGUCCAAUACACUGAGCAUCACAUCAAACUUACUCAUUUCAAAUACAGAAAAUUAACUAUUUUUCAGAUUUUAAGUAUGUUUUGUUGUUAAGCAUAAUUUUAUGUUUCAACCAUUUUUUUUUUCCACAACAAAUCAGCAGCUUCUCUUUUUCAACUCUUAAAACCUGGACUGUUUUAACAGACUAAUUCCCAGGAGACCCUUUUCCUUCUCUUCUUUUGCUGUAAUUCUGUAUUUCAUUUUAUAGCUGUAAUGCUCUAUUUUAUAGUCCCCAUAAUGCUCUGCUAAGCCUCAAAAUUUGCUAGUUUGUAGUAAUAUCAAAUGGCAAAGGGUCACCAGCAGCAUCAGCAGUUAUUUCAAGAACUCCAAGGUUCUUGCAUGGCUCCAGAAGCACGUGCUUCUCAGAGGUCCUAUCUCAUACUCAUUCCAAAAUACCCAUACUCAAGCACCUGAAUGGCCUCCCAAACACAUUUGGCUGCUGCUGUUCUUCAAAAUAAUUGAUUUUUUCUCUUAUGCAUCUCCUGUUCUAUAAUGACUUAAUAUCUUUUCUAAAGUCUUCCAUAUCUCCCCCUCUCCACAGUUCUCCCUAUGAUCACCUAAUGAGAUAAGUGAAGGAACAUAAAUAUCUGUAAGGCGAAUUUAACAGUACAUUCUUUAGUACUACACAGAUAACACACAUUUGAAACAUGACUCAAACAGCCCACUGCAUCACACAACAGCUCAUAAGCAGAUGUGACUGGGCACAUGUCAGCCCACAGCAUCACCCCUCAAAGUAGGCAUCCAGGCUCCCUUCUGCCACCAGGGAAAACCCAGUCAGUUAAAGUCAGCUUAUCUCCACUUACUUUUCUGACUUUGAAGAGCCAUACCUCUGUCCUGAUAUUAGCAAAAAGCUUCUUUAGCACAAGUCAGUUCAUAAGUUGCUUUCAACAAAAUGUCCAUAGCUUCCUAAGGAUCCUCUGUUGACCUUCUGCUUCUGUUUGUUGGGCUAAAUUCAACUUGAAGUUUCAAUUAUUAGUACAAGAAGCACAAAAUAAGAAUCUUAGGAUAAUCCAAGUUGGAUGGCAUCAAGGAAGUCUAACUUCUUGCCAUAGUCUGGGCCAGUGGUCUGGUAAGAUCGUGUUAACUCAAGUUUUCAUCCUUUCGUAUUUUUAAAACUACUGAUGACAAAGUUGAAAUUGAAUGAUUUAAUGUCUGGAGAAACUUGAAGACCUGUUUCUUUUAAUCUAAGGCUAGACUAUGAUGUUAAAAAUAACAAUUUCUCAUUUCAGAUGAAAUAAAUCUAUAGUAACAAAAAAGUACUUUCAGAACAGAAGCAACUUCAAACUUAGGUGCCGUUUGCAUCAUUUGGAGGACAUUCUACUGUUAGUAGAACCGUUUCUAAAAUAGGUAGUAACAAAUCAGAGAAUGAACACCACCAAUGUAGACCAAAUCUAUACAGAAUUCAUAGCGAGACUGGCCCUUUUUCAUACACAAUUACCCUUCCCACUGAUUCAGUUCAGAUUUUCCUCUUCCUACCAGUUUUUACAAGACUCCAGACAUUUUGUUCUGCUGUUCACAAUCUCUUGUAGUUAUUUUACACAUAGAUACCAUAUUCUAUCAGAACUAUUGGACUUAUUGAAUAGGAUAUAUAAAGCAUUGAAAAAUAAAAUCCCAAGUUAUUAUUGGAUAUGAAAAGUAUGGGAUUUUUCUGGAAAAGCAUAAUACUACAGAGUCUUAAGUGACUCCUUUCAAGAUAUCAAUUCAGAAAAAAAUAUUAUGUAAGGUGCUUCAUCUCACUUGAUUGGGCUUCUGUUCUUAGCACGUCUUUCUUUAGUUGAUUACAACAGCAUGUAUUGAAAGUGUGCGUCUUCCCAUCCCACCCAUGGGAAAGAAUAAUAGCCUAUUCCCACCUUAAACCCAUUGUUAUUGAGAUAAUUGCUUUAACAGAAUACAUAUUUUUCCUUUUUUUCUAACAUAAUUGACCCUUAAUGGUAACUGCAGUGUAGUAGCUGUUGUUCCAUGGUGUGCUUCAAGUUUACACACCAGAGUCUCUAAACUCCUCUUUUAAAAAGUAAAAACUUCAUUUUUGUUCACUGCCUUAAUUUUCUGACAAACUGGGGACUUCAUUCUCAUUAAAAAGCCUUUCCUUCUACAAGGUUAUUUUUGUCCCACUUGAGUUCCUCAAUCUGGUUCAACAUGAAGGCUCAUAAAACUGAAUAGUAAUUGUGAGGGUAGCCAUAGGGUGGAAAGGAACAGCAGAGAAUAAAGAGCAGGAACUGCUUAAGCCAGCAUUGCCACAGGAAGUAUCUGCUGAUCUACAACAUCAUGUGAACUAAAGCCAAGUAAAGAUUACUUAUACAAAGGGUGGAAAUUAGAAAUGAGUCACUGAGACAGUAAAAGCAGAGAAUAAAUCUUCUCAUUGUAAAACUGAAGGUAAGAAACAUUUUAAGAAUUAUUCAGGCACUUCUUCUGCCUCUCCAAAAUAAUGAAUACAUUCUCAGUAAAGCAGAAUUAAAAGGAUAUUCUGAGUAACUUUCAGAGUACAUUUCACAACAGCCACAUAAUUAUACAUUUUUUAUAUUCAGACAAAGACACAACUCAAAUGCUAUCUAAGGCCUAAGAGAGGGAAACAACCAAUCCCAUUGCCCUUGGUCUGGAUGGAAACAAGAGAGUUAAUAUACUGGGGACAGAUGACAAAGAUGAUUUCUGAAAUAAUAAAGUUGAGAAAAAGUUGAAUGAACAGCUUUGAAAAUAAGCCUAAAAAAGAACAGAAAUCAUAAAGAGAAUGUCUUUCCUGUGUUUUUGUUAACAACAAAGUCCAAAAAUAAGACCCACCACAGAAGAUGACCUUGAUCUUGUGACAUGUCUUCCAGUCCUUGCCAAAAAUCUUCUGCUUAGGCUAUUCCAUCAACUGUUCUUGAGGCCUACUGGACCUGCAGGUGUGAAGAUAAAGGAUACGCGUUGAAGUUGUUAUGUCAUAACAUCAUAAUAAAUUGAGAAAAAAUAAAAAUCUCUUUGCCCUGUAAACGUUAUCCUGGAAUGAAACUCUCUAAAUGUGUUAAAAUGAAAUCUACAUAUCAGUGGAUGGCAAACAUUUAUGACCUGUCAGAUGGUCUCAGAUGAGGCAGUUAGAGGAAGUUCUGUCACAUCUUAUUUUCUUAAGUCAAUAAAUUUUAACAUUAUAGGCCCUUGAGAAAGCAGAAGUAAUACUUUCAUUCAGCAGAAAACAGACUUUCUAGUAAGCACCAUGAUGCAGAAAACCACCCUUACCUAUAGCAUCUUUUAAACUCCUGUUAUUUCUCAUUUCAGUAACAGCAGAUCUGUCAGGCAGGUGCCUUUUUUUAAUUCUUAUGGCUCUGACAGCUCCUCUGUUGCAUUUAUUGUAGUUUUUAUAGCAGCAGGAAGAAGCAUGGCUGAUGGACUAGUGGGCAACACCAAAGGAAAGUUGGCUUCCUAAGCUGUCUUCAGGUAUAUUUAAGAGGACAAAUCCUCACAAAAAAUAAAUAGCAUUGGAACACCCUGAGGUCUGCACCAGAUCAGAGAUUUAGACUGGAGAGUGUGGCAGGCCUUGGGUGUUUUGCUGUUUCUUUCUGCAACUGACCUUUCUUCUAAAAAAGCACUUCACUAAACUCUCAUAUUUCAGAAGCAAGCCAAUGCCUCUCUUAAUUUGUAACCACUCAAAACUAUUUUUUUCCUCCCAGAUUUUCUGUUCUUUGUACCAUCGUCACCUGGUUAUAUAUAAAGCUACAGGUACAUAUGACAAACCAGCUACUGGCCGUACCUAAAUAAACAGAAAAUACUGUUAAGGAUGAUUCCACACACUCUUCAGUGUGGAUUUCAGCUGGGUGUUCUAUCCAGACUUCACAAGGCCUUUGUUCUGAAUCUGUAUCACUGAAAUGAAUUUCGGGUCUGGAUACCCAACUCCCAGGCACUACCACUAAAUAGGUCUGACACAAUUGCUUCCAUAACUGUGACAACAAGAGAUAGUCAUUCCAGGGAAUAGGAGAGGUAUAAAUUGAUUCUAUGUAAUCUCACAAAAAUAUUGAUUUACAUUCUGAUAAAUAGCAAAACCUUACCUGAAAAAGCUUAUAAAAGCCAUGAAGUUGAUUAAUCAUCAGUAUUGUACUACUUUAUUUUAGGGCACACAAUCUGGAGGCAUGAAUAGACUUCUGCAAUAACAUUUGUCCACAAGAUGAAACACGCCGUUUCAUUUUAAUUGAAUACUCUUUCCCUAAGUUCAGUGCAUGUAUCUAAUGGGCAGGAGUCAAAUGGAUAGGACCAGGCUCUGUUCAAUAGUGCCCAGCAACAGGACAAGGGGCAGUGGGUACAAACUACAAUACAAGAAGUUCCACAUAUACACAAAGAAAAACUUCUUUACUUUGAGGGUGACAGCACUGGAACAAGCUGCCCGGAGAUGUUGUGGAUUCUCCUCUUGAGAUACUCAAAACCUACACGGAUACUUUCCUGUGCAUCCAUGUGUGGGAAACCUGCUUUAGCUGCAGGGUUAGACUAGAUGAUCCCCAGAGGUCACUUCCAACCACUACAAUUCUGUGGUUCUGUGAAGAUGCUGGCAACAAAAUUCUCCUGCAGUGUUUGCAUUUUAAGCAGUCAGAAGGAAUAAAUCAAUAAGCCAGUUUCAACUUCUUACCGCUGAUUUUUUUUAGGGUUUUUUUUUUUUUUUUAAGUUUUUGUGUAGACUUAUAUCCUUCUUUAUGUAAUCCAAAUAAAAGAAGCAGUAAUUUGUGUAUGAGAUGACAUAAUGCUGUUUCUCUAAGCAAACAAAACAUACAAUAAUAAUAUUUAUAAUUCAGCCUUUUCCAUUUUUAAAAAUGUUGUCUGGUAUCACUACCACUUACGUUGAUGCUAAUAAAUAAGACCAAGAAUGACUAAGACCUCAAUCCAAGUGCCUGGAUAUAUAUCAGUACUGAACAAAAAAGUUCUUGAGCUGGGCAGCACAGACUCUGGUGACUUGAGAGUUGAUUCUAUUGUCUAGGGGGAGGGAAUGUUCAAAGUUUGCCUUGAAUAAAAUUGAAUCAAACCUCCCUUCAUCCUGGCAAAUUUUCUGGUGGAUAAGAAGCCUUAUACUGCCCAGAGAAGUAGGCAUGUUUUAAGAGGCAGAGCAUGGACACUGUGACACAGUGGGAGAGUGGUGUAGUGGUUCCUAGCACUUAUUCCAAAGUGACACAACAAUGGUUAGCUGACCUUGAUCACAAAAAGGAAAGGAAAUGAGAAAUUUUUCAUGUCUGUGUGAAAAGCUGAUAAACUGUAAACCCAGGACAACAGCAGUAGCUGGCAAGAACUCAGGGUGAAGACAUUUGACAGAAAUAUAACUGCAAGGAUACUCAGGUCCUUGUUUAGUUUUAAGCUGUAUCUACUAUUGCUUGAGGGCAAAAGAAGAGCUCUUUGUUGUAGGAGACCAUAAAUUAGAAAUGGAAGCGUGGAGGCCUGCAGUGACUCAUUUCAUCCCUAAGAUCCUAGCUGAUGUCAUUCAUGGACAAUUUGAUCAUACCAGGAUGUGGCUAUAAUUUACAAAUAAGAGAAAGCAUAAACUUUCAGAACCUGAAAUACUACAUCAUGUUUGUAAUUCCAGCACUUUUGUAAUCAGAAAUAUUGCUAUGGGCUAAACAAUCCUGCCUCAAGGAAUGUUUAUGCUACUUUUUUGUCAGUGUAAUUCAAACAUUUCAUCAUUCAUUUGGAUAUCAAGAAGAAAAAGUCCAUAAACUAUCAAACUGAGUAUUCUGGCUAAGUUUAAGGUAGUCCUUUCCUUCCCAUUUUAGUCUCCAAUACCUUUAUUUACAUAACGGUUUACACUUAGGUUUCCCAAUCCUCAAGAAACAAGCAACCAAAAAGGUUGAGGUUGUAUGGCAACAGUUUCUAUCUUCUGCUUUCUCCCCUGUUCUUUCAGAUUAUUUCUCACUAUAUCUCAGCACGUGAGCAAAUAUUUAGCAUAGUACAGUAAAAGUUUAACACCACUGUCAGAGGUACCCAAAUCUGAUUGUGAAAAACAUUCACUUGAUGAAGCAUGCGUAUUUCUCCAUUUGGAGAAGAAAACAUCCCAGCUUUCCUGGAACUCACAAAUAUCCAUUAGCACUAUUAACUGAGCUCUGAGCUUUUUUCCUCCGCAUUUGCAUUUCUUAUUUCACAGCUCUUGAUCUUUAGAGGGCUUAUCAUUGUGCUUCAUCGCAUUCUGCAUCUCCUCCUUCACACCAUCCAUAGUCUUUAGCAUGUACAGCAGUAGUGUUGAGACCUUACAUCUUCACCUAAUAAUUUAAGGGACUCCUGGACUCUGGGCAUUAUCUUUGACUUUCUGCUCCUCUUACACCUCUCUUGUGGCAUGCCCCCUCAGCCAGGAAGGUACGUACAAGUCCAUCCUUGAUUAAUAGAAGAACCCACCAGGUUUCCAGGCAAAGCCAAGAGGUGUUAAUGACUGUUCACAGCGCUCAGGUCUUUCAGGUCAUGGCAUUUCUGACUGUCACCUUUUGGGGUCCCUCUCUCAUUACCUGUAAACAAUCCAUGACCACAGCAAUUACAGUAUGUUACCCCCUUCUUCCCAAUCUCUUUGUGAGUGUACCUUAUUUGCAACAUUGGCAGGAUCAUGCCAUUCCACAACAUAUGACUGCAAUAGCCAACCCCAAAGCCCUGCUCCACUGCUCAGGACAGUGUUUGAAAAUAGUGGAGGGCUGGGUGCCAUCAGCACAGGCAAGGUGUGGCUAUCUGCCACACCAGCCAUGCUGCAGCCUCUGACUACCAAAGCCUACGCCCAAUACUACUAGCAAGAAAUAAAGUUCUGGAACAACAGAAAACAAUGACUGACAACAUUUUUAUCCAACUGUAAAGGAUGAAGUAUCCAAUAAUAAGAGGUGAACUUCAGCAGAAACAAAUUCGACCUACUACAGCAGUCCUUCAUAAUCAAUGAUAGUGAAUUGCUUUACAGUUUACAUCAAAAUCAUCAGAUAAAAUCAGUCCAAGAUGAGACAUUAAAACCGUUUUGCAUUGCACACACAGUGUCUUCGUGAGGGGAUUGCAUUUGUUUUCACUGUCCUGAGAUAAGACAAUGUCAAAUCAAUCCCUUUUCUAAAUUGUGGUUGUGUAUAUCAUAAUUUAUUCAGUAAGCACAUGGUUUAAAUGACUUUCCCGUGCUGCAGAGAAUAGCCCCAGUCAAUUGUUUAAAUAGGACACGUAAUGACGAUUAGUACAUUUUACACUAUUCACGCCCUCAUUUCUAACAAUGUUUUACAGAAGAGCCUGAGCUAAGGACCAAGGAGACAGAUCAGCCAGGAGCCGCACAGCAUGAGCCUUGGUCACAUUCUAACUAGGUCCUGAAGUCUGUUCCUAGACCACAGUAAUGUGACAGAAGUAACAUAUUUUAAACAAUUCUCCGUCUUUCCUUUCUAAAAUGCAACCGUUUAAAAGGUGAAUUAAAAGGAAAAAAAUAUCAUUAACCAAUGGGCAGUUUUUGUGCUUCCGUUUGCUGUAAAAUUAUUCCUGGUUCUUGCUUUCCUAUUAGUCAUAAUUAUGAGAAAGAGGCAUAGAAAUUGCCAACAGUAUCAUAGCCUUUAUGACUUUGAAUUACUAAUGAAUGCCUUAUGAAGUAUCUGCAGACAUUCAACCUCAAAGAAUUUCAUAGUGCACUCAAUUCUAGCUGCUGCCGGCUCCCAGCAGAAACAACAGUUCUGCUUACGGCAUCGCUCAACAGAACUUCUGUUCUCAGAUGACCUUCUGUUGGUCCAUUAGCAUUUCACUUCCUAAACGUUCUUAGAGCAUGAAGUGCCAGGAAAAAGGGCUACAAAGAGGGUGAAGGGUCUAGAGGGCAAGGUGUUUGAGAAUCGACUGCAGCCUCUUGGCUUGUUCAGCCCAGAGCAGAGGGGGCUGAGAGGAGGCUUAUGGCGGCCUGCAGCUCCUCACAGGGAAUGGCGAAGCAGCGCUGAGCUCUGCUCUGUGUGACAGCGACAGGGCCCCAGGGAACAGCACGGAGGUGUCAGGGGAGGGGCAGCUGAGGGUGUUGUUUCAUCUCUAAAGGUUCUCAGUCUCACUUGUUUUAUCCAGUUCACUU